GGGUGGUCCGAAGGUAGUGAGUUAUCUCAAUCAGUUGUUCAUAGUCAGUUACAGACUGAACUCCUUGUUGUGUUCUUUCCCCUCUUCUCACUCCUGCACUUGACUAGUAUCAA
rnacentral:Y_RNA from 1 species